rnacentral:rRNA from 1 species
UACAGAGGUCUCAAGCGUUGUUCGGAUUCAUUGGGCGUAAAGGGUGUGUAGGUGGCGCGCUAAGUCGGGUGUGAAAUUUCGGAGCUUAACUCCGAAACUGCAUUCGAUACUGGCGUGCUUGAGGACUGGAGAGGAGACUGGAAUUCAUGGUGUAGCAGUGAAAUGCGUAGAGAUCAUGAGGAAGACCAGUGGCGAAGGCGGGGUCUCUGGACAGUUCCUGACACUGAGGCACGAAGGCCAGGGGAGCAAACGGG